ensembl:lncRNA
GUGGUAUCCUACCUCUAAAUACCAGUGUAGUAUAAUCGUGGUAUCCUACCUCUAAAUACCAGUGUAGUAUAAUCUUGGUAUCCUACCUCUAAAAUAAAGACUAUAUCAGAAUAUAUCACUUAUUGGAAAGAAAUACAUUCUGAUGAUAAACAAGUUAUAAUAUGUUGCUAAUAGUUGCAGUAAUUAUCUAGUAAUACGUGAUAACCUCUAAAACCAGCCUAUUGUUCAGUCUGGAGAGCCCAUUGACCAAUAGGAAUAUAUCACAUAUUUACCAGGAAUUUAUAUCAGGGAUUUUUGACCAAAUGAGGCACAGUCACCACAACGAAACCUUCUAUUGUCUUAUCAACAAUCAUUACCAGACAGUGGGUGUUGGUUAGGGUUAGGUUAGAUACGGGUUACGAUAGGUUAGGGUUAGGCUACAGUGGAGUUAGGGUUAGGGAUAGGUUAGGGUUAGGAUAGAGUGGGGUUAGGGAUAUGUUAGGGUUAGGAAUAGGUUAGGGUUAGGAUAGAGUGGGGUUAGGGAUAGGUUAGGGUUAGGAUAGAGUGGGGUUAGGGAUAGGUUAGGGUUAGGAUAGAGUGGGGUUAGGGAUAGGUUAGGGUUAGGAUAGAGUGGGGUUAGGGAUAAGUUAGGGUUAGGGAUAGGUUGGGUUAGGGAUAGGUCAGGUUAGAGAUAGGUUGGGUUAGGGAUAGGUCAGGUUGGGGAUAGGUUGGGUUAGGGUUAGGUUAGGGUUAGGCUAGAGUGGGGUUAGGGAUAUGUUAGGGUUAGGCUAGAGUGGGGUUAGGUUAGGGAUAGGUUGGGUUAGGCUAGAGUGGGGUUAGGGAUAGGUUGGGUUAGGCUACAGUGGGGUUAGGUUAGGGAUAGGGUUGGGGACAGGUUAGGGAUAGGUUGGCAUUAGGGAUAGGUUGGGUUAGGAUAGAGUAGGGUUAGGGAUAGUUUAGGGUUAGGAUAGAGUAGGGUUAGGAUAGAGUAGGGUUAGGGAUAGGUUGGGUUAGGGACAGGUAUAGGUUGGGGUUAGGGACAGGUUAGGGAUAGGGAUAGGUUGGGGUUAGGUUGGGGUUAGGGACAGGAUAAGGAUAGGUUGGGGUUAGGAUAGAGUGGGGUUAGGGAUAUGUUAGGGUUAGGCUAGAGUGGGGUUAGGUUAGGGAUAGCUUAGGGAUAGGGUUGGGGACAGGUUGGGGUUAGGGAUAGGUUGGGGUUAGGCUAGAGUAGGGAUAGGGUUAGGGACAGGUUAGGGAUAUGGUUAGGGAUAUGGAUAGGUUAGGGAUAUGGAUAGGUUAGGGAUAGGUUAGGGAUAGGUUGGGUUAGGCUAGAGUGGGGUUAGGGAUAGGUUGGGUUAGGCUAGAGUGGGGUUAGGGAUAGGUUAGGGUUAGGCUAGAGUGGGGUUAGGGAUCGGUUAGGGUUAGGCUAGAGUGGGGUUAGGGAUUAGGUUAGGGACAGGUUAGGGAUAGGUUAGGGAUAGGGACAGGUUAGGGAUAGUUUGGGGUUAGGGAUAGGUUAGGGAUAGGUUGGGGUUAGGGAUAGGUUGGGGUUAGGGAUAGGUUAGGUUGGGGUUAGGGAUAGGUUGGGGUUAGGGAUGGGUUAGGGAUCGGUUGGGGUUAGGCUAGAACUAGCCUCGGCUGAACUUAGGGUUAGGUUAGGCUGAACUAGACUUAGCAUGCUGGGAGACAGAGGGAUGGAAAGAGCCCUCAUCAAACCUUCAUCAAGACCCGUCAUCAAGACCCGC